rnacentral:rRNA from 1 species
UACAGAGACUGCGAGCGUUAUCCGGAUUUAUUGGGUUUAAAGGGUGCGUAGGCGGCCUAUUAAGUCAGGGGUGAAAGACGGUAGCUUAACUAUCGCAGUGCCUUUGAUACUGAUGGGCUUGAAUGUACUUGAGGUAGGCGGAAUGUGACAAGUAGCGGUGAAAUGCAUAGAUAUGUCACAGAACACCAAUUGCGAAGGCAGCUUACUAAAGUAUGAUUGACGCUGAGGCACGAAAGCGUGGGGAUCAAACAGG